GACGAACGCUGGCGGCGUGCUUAACACAUGCAAGUCGAACGGAAAGGCCCCUUCGGGGGUACUCGAGUGGCGAACGGGUGAGUAACACGUGAGUAACCUGCCCUUGACUUCGGGAUAACUUCAGGAAACUGGGGCUAAUACCGGAUAGGAAUCCUUGCUGCAUGGUGGGGGUUGGAAAGCUUCGGCGGUUUUGGAUGGACUCGCGGCUUAUCAGCUUGUUGGUGGGGUAGUGGCUUACCAAGGCUUUGACGGGUAGCCGGCCUGAGAGGGCGACCGGCCACAUUGGGACUGAGAUACGGCCCGGACUCCUACGGGAGGCAGCAGUGGGGAAUAUUGCACAAUGGGCGGAAGCCUGAUGCAGCAACGCCGCGUGCGGGAUGACGGCCUUCGGGUUGUAAACCGCUUUCAGCAGGGGCGAAGCUUGUGGUGACGGUACCUGCAGAAGAAGCACCGGCUAACUACGUG
rnacentral:rRNA from 1 species